CUCAACUAAUGUGUGGAAGUGUGUCAAAGGUGUGUGUGGUGGGUCCGUGUACGGAUCUGGUAAUUGGAUUUUCCGUUCUGAAACGGGAAUUGAAAAACAAAAAACGAGUGGUUAUUUGAUUUUCGUUUUAAAAUACAAAAAUUAAAAUUUAAAUACAAGGCGUUUUUCCUUUUCACGAACAAAAACGGAUAUACGAUUUUUUUUAAAUGCUUUGAUUUUCAUUUUAUAUUUAACAAGAAAGUAAAAUCAGUAAGAGACGGAAACGAAAAAAGGUCAGUUUUUUUUAUUUUCUGAGACCGGAAGUGGUCAUCAGCAAGUGUGGAGCCAAACGACAACAAGAUUCUCAGAGGGCGGAGCCAGAGAGCAGUGAUUGGUCAGACAGAUAAUAUAGAAGACAGCGCGCUAGCGUAUCUAGUCUCUGUAUAUCGAUGGUGGGCACGUCUGGUGGCAUCUCUGGCUGCUGUUGAUCUUGUUUCUGGAGUAAAACACGGUGGAAGCUGAAUUAGUGAGGAUGACUCCUGCUCCUGUCAUCUCUAAGCUCCUCACACAUCUUUACCUGCACAUGAGGAAAAUCACUCCUGUAGAAUGCAGAUGUUCAGAGGGAGAUGAUGCCACAUCUGGUCCAGCUGAUGGAAGGUCUUGAAGUUCUCUGACUGGCCUCGACUGAAGAUGGUCGUCUCACUGGAUUUAAGGUUCAGAUGCUCAGUAACAAACUCCACCAAUGAGCCAACAGGGAAGCUUUAGGUUUAUUAAAUGUUGCUAUGAAGGUAUCACUGUUUUUCUUUGUGAAUGCAAUGUGCUCCAACUGAAACUUGAAUUAGAACUUAGAAGUAAAUCCUUCCAUCUGAAAGGAUUUAGUUGCAUUAAUAACCUCAUAACAUUCUAAUUUUUAUUCCAGUCUUGGUUGGAAAUAGAAUCUCUGUAUUGAUUCAGGUAAAAACUGAACUUCACAGCAUGUUGAAGCAAAACAACCAGAUGAAAACUGUGAUGGUGUUGGAUUGUCAGACCGUAAUGUUGCAGCUCAAAGCAGCUUUUCUAUCUCAGUUCAUUCUGACAUUCAGCUAUGAAUCAACACAGCAGAUGGUGAUCCAUGCUGUGGAAGUCUCACAUCUCCUGAUUUAAUGGAGCUGCUUUGCACUUUUUACACUGUUUAUUCACCAACACUUUAUUUAAUAAAAGUCCCAUCUAGUUUUUAUGAGGAAUGUGAUGUUUUAAUUUCUCUGUGAAUAACUGCAGUCUAAUGCAACAGCUGGAGUUGUAACAUCUGUCCUGAUAUUGAUCAUGAAGUAUUGAUCAGAAUACUUAUGGUCAGCAGUCAUCCCUGAAGUUUUACAUUAAAAUCUUUACUUGUGUUGUGAACUUUGGUAAGAAGCAGAAACGUUAGCGUUGCCAUGGAUACAUGAGUGUUAAAUUCUGUCCAUGUUUCCAUUUUGGGAAAUUCAGUCCAGUUCCAGAAUGUGGAGGAAUUUAGUCUCACAAUCACAGACAACAAAUAUUAUCUGAAAGUCGGGUUAUUGUUGUUUAUCAGCACAAUACAAAAAGAUUAAUGUUAGAAAUAUUCCAGUUAAGACUCUAGAAUAUCAUGAUUUAUGUAAAUUUACCUCAAUAAUAUGAAUGUUCAGGUUAAGAUUGUACAGUGAUAUUUAUUAUGUAAGUUUAGCUGAUUAAAGUUUAUGACUCUGCACUAAAAUAUUAUUUAAAUUGACAUCAUUAUUAUAAUAUUUAGGGUCAGACUCUACAGUAUUGAGAUUAAGAAAUCAAAUAUUCUAUAAAAUGUAAAUACACUGAACUCAUUUGGAUAUAUUUAAGUGAGACUCUACAAUAUUAUUUGACACAAAUCUAUCUAAAUCAAAAUUUUAAUAAUUUUCACGCCAAACAUUUACUGGACUGAUUUAAACAUUAAAAUCACUCCUUUUUAAUCCUCUGCUGUACGUUCAAACCUGAGGCCUUAAAUAGAAACACAAGUAUCUGAUUGAAGGAACUUCUGCAGAGUCCUGGUUCCAGAACAUGAUGAUAGAAUUAUAGACAAACUUUAACAAAAGCUGCCUGAGAGUUUACAGGUUUUUAUGUUGGAUUUCUUCAGUAAUUUAAUGAGCGUUAUCAGCAAUAAUCAAGUGUUCAUUUGAUGAACUUCAUUUCCUAAAACAUCCAGAAUUGGAGCUCAUAUCUUUGGCAGCUGUAAAGUUUCUGCUCCUUCAAAGUUCACAACACAAUGAAUGAAUUCCUAAAACACUCUCAAUGCUGGAGAGCGUUUGUGAUGCUGAAGCAGUGACCAGUUUUUCUGUUUCUUCUCUGGAGAUGCACAAUGAGGGACGUCUGCAGAGACUGAGAAAGAGUCUCACCACAUCCUUACAUGAGGAAAAAGACUUUAUUGAAGACUACAAUGAGAAAAACUAUCAGACAGCAGACGGCUGCAUUCAAGGUGAGCUCUGAACAUUUGAUCUGGAACAGGAAUUCAAUAACGGCAGCAUGAGCUUCAUUUCAGUCUGUAGCUGCUGAAUUCAUGGAUGAAUCAUCUGGCACUAGAGAGGAAGACCAUCAAACAUCCAUGUCAGCUGAUGGAGGUCCAAGAGUCUCACCAAACAAACAACCUACAGAGUGAAGACCUCAAAUCUGAUUGGAUGGCCUCCUAUUCAGCCACGUGUGAACAAAUGCCUCUAAGUUGAUUUGUUUUCUAAAAUAAAUCUAGUUUGAGUCCUAA